AGCUUUCAUUUAUGAUUGCUCAUGCUUUGAAAUUGUGAUGUCACAAUUUGAUAAAGUGUGCAGUGCUAGGUGUAGCAAAUCAUUGCUUAUUAAAUCUACUGUGUUAUCUAAUAGCACCAAACUAAUAGAGCUAUCACAUAAUUGAGAAACUUGUGUGGCUUAUUACAAAUGGAUGAAACCACAUUUUACCUUAAUGAAGACAGUAAUCUUUAAUAAGGUGUAGAAAAAAGAGGUGAGUUGUUUGUUGCUGUGGUAAACAAAGAAGUGUACUGAAUCUUUUGGACUACACAGAUUGAUGUAGUAUUGAUUGUGAUGCUGAUCUGAGUUGUCUCAUUCUGUAUUUGUCACGGCCGGCAGGAUCGGCAAGGCGCUGAACAGCAUCACUCCACUCCUAGCCCCCCUUCUCUCCUCUUUUUCCUCUCUCUCCCCCUCUCUCCCCUGUUUUGCCGGGGCGGAACUCAUGGCGGGUUCACGCCCUUGGUCCACGCCUUCUCGGAUUGUGCACACCUGGGCCUCAUCAGACCAGCUGGUAUAUCAGAAGGAGGAGAUCAGCUGUUCAGCGCUGGAUUGUUGUGAAGGCUUCUAUUCCCCGGACCCGUUCCCGUGUUUCCCCGUGUGGUGUGUGGAAGGAGUGACAGGUCGCUAGUGGAGAGGAGAGAGGCUGUUUGGAGCGCGAGUGUGGUUUCCCCGUUUUCCCUGGAGCCCUGGACCCCUGCCCCUCACGUCUUGUAUAUAGCACUAACCCCGCACUGUCUAUACAUACACUCGGUGAAGAUUUGUAAUAAACUAUCUCUGUGUGAACGCUACCCAGGAGUCCUGCGAGUGGAUCCUCUAAGCA